UACGUAGGGGGCAAGCGUUGUCCGGAUUUAUUGGGCGUAAAGAGCGUGUAGGCGGUUUUACAGGUCCGCUGUGAAAACUCGAGGCUCAACCUCGAGCUGUCGGUGGAAACCGUAAGGCUAGAGUCCGGAAGAGGAGAGUGGAAUUCCUGGUGUAGCGGUGAAAUGCGCAGAUAUCAGGAAGAACACCCGUGGCGAAGGCGGCUCUCUGGAACGCAACUGACGCU
rnacentral:rRNA from 1 species